UACGAAGGGGGCUAGCGUUGCUCGGAAUCACUGGGCGUAAAGGGUGCGUAGGCGGGUCUUUAAGUCAGGGGGGAAAUCCUGGAGCUCAACUCCAGAACUGCCUUUGAUACUGAGGAUCUUGAGUUCGGGAGAGGUGAGUGGAACUGCGAGUGUAGAGGUGAAAUUCGUAGAUAUUCGCAAGAACACCAGUGGCGAAGGCGGCUCACUGGCCCGAUACUGACGCUGAGGCCCGAAAGCGUGGGGAGCAAACAGG
rnacentral:rRNA from 1 species